CCAAAUUGUGGCAACUGUCCGCUGUGCAACCAAGUUCCAGAAUCAGCAACGCACCUACUCUUCCAAUGUAGAUUCUCCAUAAGAGUGUGGUCCAUGGUGCGCGAUUGGCUUCAGCUUGAAGGGUUAUACCCAAAUAAUUGGCAGGGGUUUGAAGAUGUCGAAUCUUGGUGGUACACCAUGGUUCAUGAUGGCUUCGGACGUCGUAAGGCUAUGGGCUCUAUUACAAUGCUUGUGUCUUGGGAGUUAUGGAACGAGGGCAAUGCAAGGAUCUUCAACAACAAAUUUGCCACGUCGACAGUUAUCAUGGACAAAAUUCGGUGCGAGGCAAGGAAUUGGGGGCUCGCGGGGGCAACUUAUUUGUGUAAUCUUAUGCCGGGAGAGUAG
rnacentral:rRNA from 1 species